rnacentral:lncRNA from 1 species
UGGCGCUGGUGGUGGUGGGGGCGGCGCACGGGCUGGUGCUACUGCCGGUGCUGCUGGCCCUGGUGGGGCCGCCCGCGUGGCCGGGGCGGGGGGUGGGAGGUGGGCGGGAGGUAAGAGGGGGGGAAAUGGUUGUGGGUGGCUGAGAGGUGUAAGGGGGGUUCUAGGGGUCAGGGGCGGGGGGGGGGGAAGUCGAGGGCGGGUGGAGAAGUUGUAUAGGCCGGCACAGCGGCGGCAGCGGCGGCGGGGCAGGAGGGCGGUCCUCGUGACGUUGGGGCUGGGGGAGAAGGAUGCGAAACAGCGGCUGGGGGGUUGAGUGUGUGUGUGUGUGUGUUUGGGGGAGAGGUAAAUGCAUGAUGACCAGUCGUGAGGGUUGACGAAGGCAAGAGGUGGAAGCAGGUUGCGAGCUGUUUGCGGUGUUUGAGCUCGAGGACAGCGGGAGGGGGGGAAAUACGCGGGGCCCUGUUGUUCGCGGUUGGGGGCAGUUGGGGUGGUCGUUGUUGUCUGAUGUUUGCUUUUGUGGUGGCUGGGACUGGCUGCCUGCCAGGCUGUCAAGAGUACUGGUGUAUGGCGGGGGAUUGAGGUUUGACAGCUGUAGCUUGGCGGGUCGGGGGGGGGGCGUCGGUGUUGGCAACAACGGUGAGAUAGAGGGGGAGGGGACUUGGGUCGCACGAGGCUGCCUUUUAGGAGGUGAGCUAAUCGGAUGGCACAUAGCACACUGGCUAUUACGGCUGGUGGCGGCUUUGGAGUCCUGCAUCAAUGAUGUGUGUGGAUAUGGGUUACAUGCUCACCAUCCUACCUCGCACUUCACGCAAAGCAAGAGUUGCGGUGACGCUAAAUUGUCGUGACAGACCACAUACGUUCCAGCAUCUUCGCCAGAUGUUCAGGCGUUAACGCCUGAACUUGAACGUUCAGGUUCUCACUUCAUAGUGUCCUUCAAAUGCAUAAAGCGUGGGAAAUCCAUAUCAGAUCUCAUUUCGCAGUACACCGGACAGUCCAGCAAGACGUGCUUCUCUCUUCAAUAUGGCUAUCAGUGCCGCAGCAGGGGCAUACCCGCUCCUCCCUAGGUAUAUAACGCCGUCCCUUUCGCGCUCUGUUCACCGCCAAUGCCCAACAGCAAAACCUGACCUACAUAAGCUUACAAUUGGCUGAACGCAGGAUAAAUGUUGUGAUAUGCGGGAGCACCUCCUUCCUGCCCGCUUGCUUAGCCGCCCAACCCAUCCAAUGCUUCGCCAUGUGGAUUCCUGGUUGCUUGCCAACUGACGGGUACACGUCUGGCUAGACAUCUAGACGCGUAUGCUUCCAACCGCUCAUCAACCGAUCCUUGAGCUCCGAUACCACACCAUCCGGCAAUGGCCUAUUCAUUAGCCAUUCCACUCGUUCGUCUGCCUCACGUAG